AGUGAACGCUGGCGGUAGGCCUAACACAUGCAAGUCGAACGGCAGCACAGUAAGAGCUUGCUCUUACGGGUGGCGAGUGGCGGACGGGUGAGGAAUACAUCGGAAUCUACUUUUUCGUGGGGGAUAAUGUAGGGAAACUUACGCUAAUACCGCAUACGACCUACGGGUGAAAGCAGGGGAUCUUCGGACCUUGCGCGAUUGAAUGAGCCGAUGUCGGAUUAGCUAGUUGGCGGGGUAAAGGCCCACCAAGGCGACGAUCCGUAGCUGGUCUGAGAGGAUGAUCAGCCACACUGGAAAUGAGACACGGUCCAGACUCCUACGGGAGGCAGCAGUGGGGAAUAUUGGACAAUGGGCGCAAGCCUGAUCCAGCCAUACCGCGUGGGUGAAGAAGGCCUUCGGGUUGUAAAGCCCUUUUGUUGGGAAAGAAAAGCAGCAGGUUAAUACCCCGCUGUUCUGACGGUACCCAAAGAAUAAGCACCGGCUAACUUCGUG
rnacentral:rRNA from 1 species